UACGAAGGGGGCUAGCGUUGCUCGGAAUCACUGGGCGUAAAGCGCACGUAGGCGGCUUUUUAAGUCAGGGGUGAAAUCCUGGAGCUCAACUCCAGAACUGCCUUUGAUACUGCGCAGCUUGAGUCCCGGAGAGGGUGGUGGAAUUCCCAGUGUAGAGGUGAAAUUCGUAGAUAUUGGGAGGAACACCGGUGGCGAAGGCGACCACCUGGACGGAGACUGACACUGAGGCGCGAAAGCGUGGGGAGCAAACAGG
rnacentral:rRNA from 1 species